AACGUAGGAGACAAACGUUAUCCGGAUUUACUGGGCGUAAAGGGCAUGUAGGCGGUUCGUUAAGUCUGGCGUGAAAGCUCUCGGCUAAACCGGGAGAGGUCGUUGGAUACUGGCAAACUAGAGGACGGUAGAGGCGUGUGGAAUUCCGGGUGUAGUGGUGAAAUGCGUAGAGAUCCGGAGGAACACCAGUGGCGAAGGCGACACGCUGGGCCGUACCUGACGCUAAAGCGCGACAGCAUGGGGAGCAAACGGG
rnacentral:rRNA from 1 species